UCUAAAUUUCCUCACCUCCUGAUUUCUUCCCUUUCCCUUCCGAUUCGUCGCUCCUCUUCUUCCUCCUCCGUCUUCGCCGCCUUCGACCGGUCGCCUCCAUCAUGCCUUGAGUCCUAGUAGGCGUCGUCUCCACAUAGGCGAUCCCUCCUAGGAUAUCACGACCGGUUGCAAAGACCUAACCACUUACCCUCGGCACGAUAUCACUUGGGUGAGGGCUCCCGACAAUGGCACAAAGAAGGAAAAGGCAAGUAGAUUUUCUCUAAUAGGUGAGGGCGAUGCCACCAAGGAUAUGAUCGAGGACGUGGGGGCGGAAUAGCUGAGGAGAUGAGAUGGAAGCACAACACACUGUCCAAGACCCCGAGAGCAUGUUAUGAAAUUGCCCUCUGAUUUAUUAUGUAGAUAAGGAUUGGAGUUCUAUUGGUUGGUUUCUUAUCCUUUUAGUAGAAGUUCAUCAACUUCAAUUUACUGUGGUUGCUAUAUGUUGAGGUUCAUAUGUCAUGCAUCUUCACUUUAUUUUUUUCUAUCAAAAGUCUUAGGAUAUGACA